GAACCAGGAAGUAGUAAAUGUUCACAUACUCAAAGAACAGCUGUGAUCAAUUAAAUGUUCGACUUACAGUAACAUUUCUUUUUUUUUUCCCAGCGAGUUUUGUGUGUGAAUCCCCAGCAAAGACCAGGAGACGAAGAAAAAGAAGUAAAAUGACGUUUGAAGGCUCCAUGUUAGCAUGUUAGCAUGUUAGCAUGUAGCUCCACCAGCAUGUGUCAAGACUUGGUCCUUGGGUUUUCUUUUUCCGUAAGGCAACGGAAAGUUGGCGCGUGCAAGGCGUGUAUGUGACUUCUCGGACUCAAACGCCCGCACCAUCGUGUGUGAAGCAUUCCACCUUGCCGCCAUCCAAAGGAAUAAUUAGGGAGCCACAAAGUGUCGAGGAAGCUGCCUCUUCAAAAAGCCGUCUUUGAUCCGGGCGUGAUUACCGCCCGCUUCAUGGCGCCGCCCGCGGACACGAGCGCCGCGAGAUGGAUGGCGGCCGUCAGCCAACUCGGGAAGAUCGUUUGAUUUGAUGCGGCUGAGGAGGCGGAGGAAGAGGAGGAGGCGCGCCCCCCUAACUUGCUGUCUAUUUCACAGCCCGCUGGUCACAUGACUGACGGAGCAAAUGUACCGGAUUUUCCGGACUAUAAGGCGCACUGUCAAUUUUUGAGAAAAUGAAAGGACAUGUACGGAAUCAUUUUGGUUGUGCUUACCGACCUCGAAGCAAUUUUAU